rnacentral:rRNA from 1 species
AGGGGGGCAACUCCCUGAGUACAGCGGCGCACGGGUGAGUAACACGUAGGUAACCUACCCUCGAGCCUGGGAUAACCUACCGAAAGGUGGGCUAAUACCGGAUGUGACCACGGGAGUUUCGGCUCCUGAGGUAAAAGAUGGCCUCUGCUUGCAAGCUAUCACUCGUGGAGGGGCCUGCGCGCCAUUAGCUAGUUGGCGGGGUAAUGGCCCACCAAGGCUCUGAUGGCUAGCUGGUCUGAGAGGAUGACCAGCCACACUGGGACUGAAACACGGCCCAGACUCCUACGGGAGGCAGCAGUGGGGGAUAUUGCGCAAUGGGCGAAAGCCUGACGCAGCGACGCCGCGUGGGUGAUGAAGGCCUUCGGG